UACGUAGGGGGCAAGCGUUGUCCGGAAUUAUUGGGCGUAAAGCGCGCGCAGGCGGUUUAUUAAGUCUGAUGUGAAAGCCCACGGCUCAACCGUGGAGGGCCAUUGGAAACUGGUAGGCUUGAGUGCAGGAGAGGAGAGCGGAAUUCCCAGUGUAGCGGUGAAAUGCGUAGAUAUUGGGAAGAACACCGGUGGCGAAGGCGGCUCUCUGGACCGAGACUGACGCUGAGGCGCGAAAGCGUGGGGAGCAAACAGG
rnacentral:rRNA from 1 species